CCUACCACUCUCCCUUUCUUAACAUAACGCUCUGCUAGGGUUUAACUCCGAUCUUGGUCAAGUUGCUCAAGCUCAAUAUUGUUUUCCACUCCGUUUUCUAAGUUUGUUCCUCAAGCUUUUUGCACUCCGUAGUUGGUGUUGAAGCCCUUUGCUCCCCCUUUCCAGAUGUGAGAACCCCUGGCAGUGGUAAUGAUAAUAGGGAUGCUGGAGCUUGAUGGAUUGGGCCCACUAUGGGCCCAUCACUGAAGGAUUUUAUUAGUUAUGAUUCUCUUGUCCGUACAAGACCUAGUAUAUUUAAUUUUAUCAGUGUACUUUGUUUUGGGCCGUGUGGAGCCUCUUUUAUGCAAAAUGGGUAUGUUUGGCGUACUGUGUACCUUCAUACUCCAAACUCCGUAGUCUCUGAAUAUUCAUGUAUGUGACA